rnacentral:rRNA from 1 species
AGAGUUUGAUCCUGGCUCAGAUUGAACGCUGGCGGCAGGCCUAACACAUGCAAGUCGAGCGGCAGCACGGGAAGCUUGCUUCCUGGUGGCGAGCGGCGGACGGGUGAGUAAUGCAUAGGAAUCUGCCCGGUAGUGGGGGAUAACCUGGGGAAACCCAGGCUAAUACCGCAUACGCCCUACGGGGGAAAGCAGGGGCUCUUCGGACCUUGCGCUAUCGGAUGAGCCUAUGUCGGAUUAGCUGGUUGGUGAGGUAAUGGCUCACCAAGGCGACGAUCCGUAGCUGGUCUGAGAGGAUGAUCAGCCACAUCGGGACUGAGACACGGCCCGAACUCCUACGGGAGGCAGCAGUGGGGAAUAUUGGACAAUGGGCGCAAGCCUGAUCCAGCCAUGCCGCGUGUGUGAAGAUGGCCUUAGGGUUGUAAAGCACUUUCAGUGGGGAAGAAAGCCUUGCGGUUAAUACCCGCGAGGAAGGACAUCACCCACAGAAGAAGCACCGGCUAACUCCGUGCCAGCAGCCGCGGUAAUACGGAGGGUGCGAGCGUUAAUCGGAAUUACUGGGCGUAAAGCGCGCGUAGGUGGCUUGAUAAGCCGGUUGUGAAAGCCCCGGGCUCAACCUGGGAACGGCAUCCGGAACUGUCAGGCUAGAGUGCAGGAGAGGAAGGUAGAAUUCCCGGUGUAGCGGUGAAAUGCGUAGAGAUCGGGAGGAAUACCAGUGGCGAAGGCGGCCUUCUGGACUGACACUGACACUGAGGUGCGAAAGCGUGGGUAGCAAACAGGAUUAGAUACCCUGGUAGUCCACGCCGUAAACGAUGUCGACUAGCCGUUGGGUCCUUCGCGGACUUUGUGGCGCAGUUAACGCGAUAAGUCGACCGCCUGGGGAGUACGGCCGCAAGGUUAAAACUCAAAGGAAUUGACGG